UCGCUCCCCUCGGGCCCGGUGCCACCUGUGCAGCAUCCCCACAUGGCCCGGGGUGAGGGCCGCGCGGUGCCAAAUUCCCACGAAACGGACCCAAGUCACAAAGGUCGGAGAAUGCGGCCUAACGCGCGCCCCCGACCCACCUUUGCCCGAAUUCCACUUGUUCUGAGGACCGGAAUGAGGAAACCAUGAGAGAAAAAUAAACACCAGCAAGAGUACUGCACCCUGCUCUCUCCUUGCCGCACUUGGCACAGGAUUCCAGAACCUCGUUAGGUUGUCAAACGCUGCAAGGAAAACCCCUGCAGAUUUCGAUAGAAGUCCUCACUGUAGGCUCUGGAAAGAAUAUGUAUUCUUCGAGAAACACAAAGGCAGUAUUGAAACGCACGGCUAACUGGAAAGAAAGCCUAUUGUUUCUCCUUCAAAGAAAAGAAGCCUCAGUAAUAGUUAAAGGGCCCUAGUGCCAUACAAUUAAACAGAAAUACACUCAUAGUGGCAGAUUAUCCUGACGUAGAGUACACGGAAAUGCCAAAAAGCAAAACCUUAACGCCAUCAAGUUCCUUUCAUGAAAUGUGCACUUUAAAAGAAUCUGUA